AAUGAACGUUGGCGGCGUGGAUUAGGCAUGCAAGUCGUACGCACAGCUUCGGCUGUGAGUGGCGCAAGGGUGAGUAAUGCGAAGGUAACCAACCCUGGAGUUGGGCAUAACCGCGGGAAACUGCGGGUAAUUCCCAGCGAUGUCGCGAGAUGGCAUCAUCUUGCGACCAAAGGUGUGAUUCCGCUCUAGGACGGGCCUUCGUGGUAUUAGGUAGUUGGUGAGGUAACGGCUCACCAAGCCGACGAUGCCUACCGGGUGUGAGAGCAUGACCCGGCACACUGGAACUGAGACACUGUCCAGACACCUACGGGUGGCUGCAGUCGAGAAUCUUCGGCAAUGGGCGAAAGCCUGACCGAGCGACGCCGCGUGAGGGAAGAAGGCCUUCGGGUUGUAAACCUCUUUCGUAGAGGAGGAAGGGGCCGUGCAGAGCGGUCUUUGACCUAUUCUAGGAAGAAGCUUGGGCUAAGUUCGUGCCAGCAGCCGCGGUAAGACGAACCAAGCGAACGUUAUUCGGAAUUACUGGGC
rnacentral:rRNA from 1 species